CGCCUGGAAGAAAUCAUGAAAAGAACAAGACAGACAUGCUCUGAUGACAAGAAAGCUGCAUCAGUAAAGGACAACUUGCCUUGUGACAACGUGAAGUCUGUAAUCAGGCAACCAGAUCCAGGAAAAAUGCCAAAGCUGGAGCUGAGGGACAAGGAGGAUAUGCUUCCUACUGUGGCCUUCAAGGAGCGACGGUCCUUCCGCAGUCUUUCUGGCCUGGAUGAGAUACAAGCCCAUCAGCAAACCGAGGUUAUUUAACCCACGGACCUGUCUUACGAUGCCAAGACCGUCAGAGCAACUUCAGCAAGUUUGUCUUUCUGACAAACACAAAUACAACAUAUGCACUUGAUUUCCCUGCACUUUAAUAAACCUGUAGUUUAAUAAAGAAGUCACACUUCCUUCUACAGAUUACAGUUCCUUACUCCCCAAUUAAAAUACUUAAAUUACUGCUUGAUUUGCUAAAGUGACAUCAUGCAUCGCUCAGUAAACAGAUAGUUUUGGGUAUGUGGUAAGAUUCACAUAAUAAUAAUAAUAAUAAUAAUAAUAAUAAUAAUAAUAAUAUUAUUAUUAACAAUGAUAAUACUUGAAUAAUACUUAAUGACUUAAAGGUAGACUACCCACCAAAUAAAACUUGAAUUAUUCAUUUUUAAGCUUUAAUUUCAUAAUAUUUUAUAUUGUAGCCAGUAUGUUUAUGGUGUUAUGGUUUCUCCUCUGAGCAGUGAUAUAAUAGUCUUUUGGAUUUAUCAGUCUUUUUCAUAAAUAUACACACAUGUAAACAGUAAUUCACCUGCACGAAUGAAUACUGUACACUACGGUUUAAAAGUGUGGGGUCAGUAUGAUUUUAAAAUAAUUAAUACUUUUAUUCAGCAAGAAUGCAUUAAAAUGAUCAAAGGUGACAGCAGAGACUCAAGAUUGUUACAAAAAUAAUAUUUAAAUAAAUGCUGUUCUUUUGAAUUUUCUGAUGUAUUAUAGAUGCCCAAAACAUAUAAGCAGCAAUAUUUUCAACACUGAUAACAAUAAUACAUUUUUUGAACACCAAAUCAGCAUAUUACAAUGAUUUCUAAAGCAUCAUGUGACAUUGAAGAUUUGAAUUCAGCUUUGCAUCACAGGAAUAAAAUACAUUUAAACUUAAAAAAAAAAAAAAAAAAAAAAAAAAAAACUUAUUUUCUCUAUAUUUGUAUUAUUAUUGUUAUUUAAAUCAAAUAGAUGCAGCCUUGUUUUAUCAUAGAAAAAAAAAAAACAAAAUCUUACAAUACAAACCCCAAACUUUUGAAUGGUAAUGGCUGUGCAUUUAUUUUUAACCAGAUAUCUGUGCUAGAAAUCAUUCAUGUAAUUAAGAAUCUUUCUUUGCAAUGCUGCUGUUUUGACUCAUGUGGGUACACAAGUAUACAGAGGUCAUGUUCCAUCUGUCCUUGUUGCUGACCAGUGAUUCUGUAUCUCAGUAUUACAGCAGAGAGGUGAGCAUAUUCAUUUCCACAGUUUCUGUAGCUGGUUUUGCAUUGCUGCUAUUUAGCUGUUCCAAAUAAAAACACCCGCCCACAAGCCCUUUUAAUAAAGGAAAAUGAUGUGCUCGUCUGCCUUAUAAACAUAACUAUAUUGUGCUGGUACCUGCUGACCUUGUGCAAUGAUAGAGGCUUAUGCAAAUAUGGUGUAAAGAUGUAAACAGUUGAAUUCCUUUUUUUAUUGGUGUAAGUAAAUAAGCUUAAAAAAAAACAGACUGGUUGUUGGCGUUUAUACAUGUAACUUUUUUUUUUUUUUUUUUGUAUUUUCACAUUCUACAAAAACACUAUUAAAAAGGAAUAACCGUCACAUUUCCCGCUGAGGUUUUGCAUUAGCUGAAAUUGUGAGAGAACUGAGUGUUCUUGUACCCCGAGAACAUUGUUACAUGUUUGGUAAAUGGGCUGCCAGUGAGGCAAAUGGUGACAGAAACCUCAGAUAAGAAGAAUCCUGGAUAAUUGGAGCAAGUCUAGCAGAGAGGGCAUGUGGUUCAGUACUGUUAAUUGAUGCCUACAAGAACUGCAAACAAAAAAAAGCUUGAGACUUGAAAUGAAAAUGAAAAUGUACAUGUCUUUAUAAAUAAUUGUUUUCUGAAUUUCUGUUAAAAUAUGUAACAAUCAUAAAUUUACAAAAAGCUGAUAAUGAGAACUUUGAAAACUAGAAAUAAAAAGACAUCUCUCAUGUAAAGAACACAAAGAAUAUAAAAGGUGCGACACAGGUGUUCUAGAAAUAAUAAUUAAAAAAAUUAGAAAAAAAAAUGUUUUCAUACUUGUAUUAUAGGCCUACUUUAAUUGUAAAAAAUGGUUAAAUAUUAUUUUGUUUCAAAAAAGUAUUCAAUUUUAAGCAAUAUUACAUUUUUGUAAUUUUUUUUUAAUAAAAUUCAGAUCUUUUACUAGUUAACUGAUUAUGAAUUCAACUGAUUAUGGCAAAAAUGUGACGUUGUUGUACAAUGUUAAUGGUUAUAUAAAGACUGACAGGCCAAAAUGCCCAAUUUAACUUCAUGUUAGAUAAUAAUUUAUCUAACUUAUCUAAUCGUUCAAAACGAUGGGAUUUGUGCCCCUAAUGCUCAAAAAAACUAAAUGGGACAACAAAUUGUACCCUAUUCCUGGAAAGUGCCACAUGCAACCAUAACAGACAUUGAACCUCGGUGGAUUGAAUUUUGCAGCACUUACCAGAUUUUGUGGGAUUAAAGGGAGUUUGGACAACAUUUGGUUGGAUCAUCCCAGCAAAGCCGCAUCAGAUGACACAAAGGCAUCGCUGUUUGAAGACUUCUCUGGAGCUCUCAAGUAAAUUUAGGCUAAUUGCAUCACCUGUCCACAGGUGCUGCUUGACUGUCUGUGAGACGACCAACUGUGAGCCGUAUCAUGUCACCUCAUAUUGGUUUAAGAUGAACAUGAAGUAUGGCAAAUUAAUCUAUCUGUGCCUAGACAGCAGUUUUAUGUGUUUAUAUCCAGCUAUAUUAAACUGAGGUGUGUCGACAGCCCGAGCUCGACGUGGACAGAUAUAAACAAACGUAGAUGUUCGAGCCGACCAGCAGGUGGCGCUACAAGCCAAU
rnacentral:lncRNA from 12 species